UCUGUGGGAUCAGCCAAAUGAAGAAGACAUAGUCUUUGAAAUUUGCCUGAUAGGAACAAAUGCAGAACACUGGAGUAGAUGAAUUAGGUGGUCUGUUUCAUUCAUAAGAUUCUGGGAUACUGUGGAUACUAAUGAUGCUUUUCAAGAAAGUUGCUUCUCUACAGCUGAUCUGAAUUCUGAAGAUACUUAAAAGCUCAAUGAGUUUGAUAAAUCUUUUAUACGGGAAUAGAAACAUAAGCACAUUUUCUAUAACAUUGGAAUGUGAGAGAUUAAAGAGACAAGAGAAUUAAUGAGGGAUCAAGGGAUGGAAAUCUCUAGGUGACUGAUAGAAGAAAAGAAAGGCUCUGGAAUAUCAUGUCUCAUGAGAAAUAAAAGUCUGGAACCAAACCUGCAGUAUCUCCAAGUGACCGACUGUGACGAGAUGGCAUUGCAUAAAAAAGGCUUCUGAGUGACUGGUGGGAUGUAGUGUGAUUGUUUCUGGAUUGUUAUUUGUGAAUCAACUCAUGAUUUCUUGCUAAAUGAAGGGAUGGAUAUGCAAGGAAUAUGUUUUUUUUUUUUUUCUUGGCUCCAUGAUUCUGCUUAUGAAGCAGUAACUAAAAGUGAAAACUUCAGGAUAAAAUUCAUGUUCAUAUCUGAUCAAAAAUAAACACCUCUCUUAAAUGGGAACAUAAACCAAUUUUAUAUUUUAGCACCUUUUCUGUUAUAACUAAUUUGAUGAGAUGUAAUAGUAAAUUGAAUCGAGUAGUUGAUAUCAUUUUGUCUAUGUCUAUUUCCAAAGAGCUCAAAUAAACUCAAAUAAACUUGUUUCAUAGAAUA